AUGACAAGGGUGGUUAUAAAAUGUUCUUCAAUUUCUACACAUCUUCUAAAAGGGUGUGGAAGCAAAAAGUCAAGCAAAAAUGAAGGUGACUUUUCCAUACCCCUGAGUUGCUGCUGCUCUAGCCUGAACACCCAUCUCUGGCUAUCACUCAGUCCUUGGUUUUGGCUCUCUACCUUUCCUGUGCAAAUCAGCGACCUCUCUGCAAAAGAAAAAUUAUCUUUAGGUAAGUAGUGGAAUGCUUCUGUUU
rnacentral:lncRNA from 1 species